GUCAAGAAAUGUGGGAGGAGUAGCGAAAAAACAGUUUUGCGGUUUUCGCGGAAAAAAAUUAUUGACGCAAAUGGGCGUGGCCUAGGCCAAAAGAUGCAGCAGACUCCAGUGCAUAUGUGGGUACAAGUUUUUGACUGUGGGAGGUUCGGUGUGGGAGUUAUAGCCCCAAACGCGUCUUUCCUUGGUAUAGCGCCACCUAGUGGCCGGCGUGUCUGGAUUUUGUCGUCUGCAUAGUCUUCACGUACCUGGAUCUAGUCAUGUAAUUGGCGUGUGUGCACCAUUUACGGUUUGGGCUGUAGUAGCACUUUCUUGGUAGGAAGUAUAAUAAUAAUAAUAAGACAAUAAGAAAAAUCCUUACAAAAACAAUAGGGAUCCAACCUGUUGGCUUGGACCCCUAACUAGAACUGCAAGCAGUUAUGCAGGGGUCCAAGAAGUGUGCAUUUCGCCGGCACAACGCGACAAGAAAUGUGCGUUUCGCCGGCACAACGCGAAGCAUGUGUUCAAAACGCUACCCUGAACCUGUGGAUACAAAGGAUUUGACUGUGGUAGGAGUAGCGAGAAGUCAGUGUAGCGUUUUCGCGGCGAAAUUUUGUAGAAGAUAUACAAUUUCCUCGUUUAUUGCGCCCCCUAAUGGCGAAAUUUUCCGAAAUUUUUAUCGUACGACAUUAAGGUUAGCACCAACAUGUGUGCACAAUUUGGACUCGAUCCGAUGUCUAAUUUUUGUUUUUUUUUUGGAUUUUUGAUUUUCGACUUAAAACGUAGCUAAUAAACAAAUAUUCAAAAUGCUACCGUUUCGUCAUCAACGGUCGGAUCAAAAAUGUGUUCCAUGGAUUCUUUUCGUGUGCCUCUGAAGAUGUCGUGUGCACGGUUUGGUGUAGAUUGGUCAAGAAAUGUGGGAGGAGUAGCGAAAAAACUGUUUAGCGGUUUUCGCGAUUUUGAAAAAAAAUUAUAGACGCAAAUGGGCGUGGCCUAUGCCAAAAGAUGCAGCAGACUCCAGUGAAUCUGUGUGUACAAGGUUUUGAAUGUGGGAGGUUCGGUGUGGGAGUGAGGGUUAGGGUCAACUAUGUGCCAUACACCAAUCUCUGCAAACACACUACGAGCUCA
rnacentral:lncRNA from 1 species